UACGAAGGUCCCAAGCGUUGCUCGGAAUCAUUGGGCGUAAAGCGGGUGCGGGUGGCUUUGUAAGUCAGGAGUGAAAGCCCAGGGCUCAACCCUGGAAGUGCUUUUGAAACUGCAAAGCUUGAGUGUGAGAGAGGAUACUGGAAUUCCUGGUGUAGUGGUGAAAUACGUAGAGAUCAGGAGGAACACCUGAGGUGAAGACGGGUUGCUGGGCCAACACUGACGCUGAUGCGCGAAAGCCAGGGGAGCAAACGGG
rnacentral:rRNA from 1 species